rnacentral:siRNA from 1 species
AUAUGCAAAAGAGUAAGAUGGA